AUUGAACGCUGGCGGCAGGCCUAACACAUGCAAGUCGAACGGUAACAGGAAGCAGCUUGCUGCUUCGCUGACGAGUGGCGGACGGGUGAGUAAUGUCUGGGAAACUGCCUGAUGGAGGGGGAUAACUACUGGAAACGGUAGCUAAUACCGCAUAACGUCGCAAGACCAAAGAGGGGGACCUUAGGGCCUCUUGCCAUCGGAUGUGCCCAGAUGGGAUUAGCUAGUAGGUGGGGUAACGGCUCACCUAGGCGACGAUCCCUAGCUGGUCCGAGAGGAUGACCAGCCACACUGGAACUGAGACACGGUCCAGACUCCUACGGGAGGCAGCAGUGGGGAAUAUUGCACAAUGGGCGCAAGCCUGAUGCAGCCAUGCCGCGUGUAUGAAGAAGGCCUUCGGGUUGUAAAGUACUUUCAGCGGGGAGGAAGGGAGUAAAGUUAAUACCUUUGCUCAUUGACGUUACCCGCAGAAGAAGCACCGGCUAACUCCGUG
rnacentral:rRNA from 1 species